GACGAACGCUGGCGGCGUGCCUAACACAUGCAAGUCGAACGGACAGGCCCUGCUUUUGUUUGGUGCUCGAGUGGCGAACGGGUGAGUAACACGUGAGUAACCUGCCCUUGACUUUGGGAUAACUUCAGGAAACUGGGGCUAAUACCGGAUAGGAGCUCCUGCUGCCUGGUGGGGGUUGGAAAGUUUCGGCGGUUGGGGAUGGACUCGCGGCUUCUCAGCUUGUUGUUGGGGUAGUGGCUGCCCAAGGCUUCGACGGGCAGCCGGCCUGCGAGGGUGACCGGACACAUGGGGACUGAGAUAAGGCACAGACUCGUACGGGAGGCAGCGGUGGGGAAGAGUGUACAAUGGGAGGAAGCCUGAUGCAGCGACGCCGCGUGCGGGAUAACGAGAAGCGGGUUGUAAACCGAUUUCGCCUGUGACGAAGAGUGAGUGACGGUAAUGGGUAAAGAAGCAACGGCAAACUACGUG
rnacentral:rRNA from 1 species